rnacentral:lncRNA from 1 species
CUUUUCCUCUUGGGUUUAGUGGUGAGCAGGAGGGACUUAGCAUAUCACAGAGCCCCCGGCAGCCAAGCUACCGGGUGUCCUGGCCCCCUUCAGUUCCCUCCCUUGUCCUCCUCGAGGACCCCCCAACUCAGGCACCCACACCACGGGGGGCUGCGGGACCCCGAGCCUCACUCGUGCCACCGGCCACCCAGCGUCCCCUGCAUCUUCCCCGGGGACUCACACACCGCCUCGAGGCCACUCCGCCCCUCCGGAUGGAUGUCCAAGCCUCCAGCCAGGGCCCCUUCCCUGCUUCAUCUCCAGGGUUGACGGAGGUCGAAGGAGCACAUGUCUGCUUGCAGGGCACGCCAGGUCCUGAUGGACACUGACGUCUAGACCUAGACGGUGGCUCAGCCUGAACCCUGGACGGCCUGGAGCACAGCCAUGCAACUGCUUCUAAGACAAAACCGAGGUGGGGAUUAAAGCUACCCUCCCAGGCCGCCUGGCUGGAAACUCAUCCCCCUCUGUCCCCAGCCCCUGCAGCCCCCAUCACUGCCGCUGACAGCCGCAGGGUGUGGCUCACAGAGGGACAGCAGGGAGGGAGAGACGGACGGGGUGGGAUCCUGGGGGCCUGUGGCCUUCAGAGCGUCUCACUGCCCCAGCCUUGAUGGGGUUGUCUGUAGAGCGGGGAUUCAGCUGCCUGGUCUGUGGCGACUGUCCGGUGGCCCAGGGGGUGGACGUGACUCUCCUGUGCGACUUUGUUUUUCUGAGACGGAGUCUUGCAGUGGCGCGAUCUCGGCUCACUGCAACCCUCGCCUCCCGGGUUCAAGCGAUUCUCUUGCCUCAGCCUCCCGAGCAGCUGGGACUACAGGUGUGUGCCACCACACCGGCCUAAUUUUCUUUUCUUUUCUUUUCUUUUCUUUUUAUUUUUUGAGACGGAGUUUCACUCUUUCGCCCAGGCUGGAGUGCAGUGGCGUGAUCUCAGCUCACUGCAAACUCCGCCUCUCGGGUUCAGGCCAUUCUCCUGCCUCAGCCUCCUGAGUAGCUGGGACCACAGGCGCCUGCCACCACGCCCAGCUAAUUUUUUUUUUUGUAUUUUUUAGUAGAGACGGGGUUUCACCCUGUUAGCCAGGAUGGUCUCGAUCUCCUGACCUCAUGAUCCGCCCGCCUCAGCCUCCCAAAGUGCUGGGAUAACAGGCGUGAACCACCAUGCCCAGCCACGCCCAGCUAAUUUUCUGUAUUUUAGUAGAGAUGGGAUUUCACCAUGUUGCCCAGGCUGGUCUUGAACUCCUGGGUCCAGGCAGUCUGCCCACCUUGGCCUCCCAAAGUACUGAGAUUACAGGCAUGAGCCACCGGGCCUGGCCCCACGGUGUGACUUUGACCUCCUCAUGGGAGGAAAAAGCAGGAUGAAGCGGGGAUGAUGUCUGUCGGUCCUCAGCAGGAGCAUCUGCCAACGUCUCCACAUUGUGGACCUGAGAUUGUUCUCCGGAAGCUGCAGUCGGAGCAUCGCCAGGCCCAGCCCUGGGUCCUCCACCCGGGCCACUGCCUCUCAGGCGGCCUCUCCCUGCCCCCGCCCCUCCGGGGCCCCACAGGGCGGCCAGUGCAGACCUGGGUGUGCAACGGCCCCAUCAGCGUUUGUUUCAUGAACAAAUAAAUGUCUAAAUUCAGGACCCA